UACGUAGGCAGCGAGCGUUGUUCGGAAUUACUGGGCGUAAAGAGUGUGUAGGCGGUGUUCCAAGUCUGGUGUGAAAUCUCCCGGCUCAACUGGGAGGGUGCGCCGGAAACUGGAAUGCUAGAGGGUGGGAGAGGUAAGCGGAAUUCCUGGUGUAGCGGUGAAAUGCGUAGAUGUCAGGAGGAACACCUGUGGUGUAGACAGCUUACUGGACCACUUCUGACGCUGAGACACGAAAGCGUGGGUAGCAAACAGG
rnacentral:rRNA from 1 species